UGCCUCUUUCUAGGAUAAACUCUUUUUUCAUAAAAGUGGCAUAUUUACUGACAAACACUUUAUGUUCAGUAGGAUGGUAAAAGAGGUAUCCUAUACUCUCUUUAGGAUAACCUAUAAACAAAUAUUUAUCUACCCUAGCACUCAGCUUAUGUCCAAAAUUUCUUUUAACAUAAGCUGGACAGCCCCAUAUCUUAAGAUACUUAAGAUUAGGCUUCUUUCCUCUC
rnacentral:lncRNA from 1 species